AAGGGUUUGGCUUGACUAAUAAGCAUCACUUUUGAUUUUGAUUUUGCAAGAAUAGAGUGAAGACUAGUACAAAGAAAAUUCACUGUAUAAACAUCCUGCCCAAGCAAGGAAGGUUCGCCCAUACUCCAUCUACAGGAUUUCAUCCAGAGUCCUUUGUAGCCAUAUAGAGUAUGUGACAGAACAAUUUGGAAAAGAUUCAUCUAUCAAGUUUAACAACUUUCUGGUGUAACUUCAGAGAGGUUUAUUGCUUAUUCAUGUGGAAAAUUGCCAAUCAGCUCUAAUUUGGAAGCCCCAGCUGAGCUCCUGCUGUGAGACAUAUCCUAAGAGACAGAUCUUGCUGUGAAGGGCUGGCAGGUUGGAGAGAUGAAGGCUGAGAAGAA
rnacentral:lncRNA from 1 species